UGUCCCUUUCGUCUAACGGUUUAGGACAGUGCUUUUUCGCAGCACAAACACGAGUUCAAUUCUCGUAAGGGAUAUC
rnacentral:tRNA from 1 species